UGCUGAUAACUUUUCCAAGCUUAAGAAUGAUGACACAUUUGAUAAACAUUUAGUGGAAAAUUUAUGGAGCGUGACAAAGCCAUUGUAGCGGCGAUAAACGUUUACCAGCAAUGCGUCACGUAUGCAGCACAACAGCACUUUAUUCGCUCGCACUUUCGAGACACUUCCAUAGCACAUAAGGGAGACAAAUGUAUUUCUCGAAGCAUCGAACAGGCCGCAUGGCCAGCGUAUAAAUAGAGGCCACAGCUCGCAAUGCAUUCAUUCGUAAAAUAAAAGUGUUCAAGUGAAGUUCUAUCGUGAAAUUAAAAAUUCGUUGGGAAAUAUAGUACAUAUUGUCCCAGAUAUUAGUGCUGCUGUACAUAUAUAUAUUUUUUAUAUCUUAGAUAUUGCCAUAUUGGCAAUGGAAAAGUGUAGAAUAGCUGUUGGAAUGUCGAAGCUGAGGAGUUACAUCAUGGCACGAAGACUAAAAUAAUUGCUAGUUUUGAGAGCAUUUUUUGCUUUGAACAAAGAAAAAGAAAACGCCCCGUCGUCGUCGUCAUCAUCAGCAUCAACGUGGGCACGUCAGGCAAAUUUCACAAAUGAGGAAAUGGCGAUCGAGUUGUGUUCCACCUUUGGCUAGAAAGUUGCUCUUUAGGCAGGCUGAAACUCAAACUGAAGCUGAAUCAGAUGCAGAUGCCAGAUUCCAUGGCGAGGCUUAAGGCUAAGGCAGGCGAGGAAUAGCGAACUCAAAGGUUGUCCAGGAUUUAAGGAGUUUGCAUAGCAAGCCAGGCUUGUUCUCUCUUAUACUUGGGCGUGAAAAGUUGAUACGCGAAUCGAUCGAUGGUUGAACUCGUGCCCUUUGCGGGUGAAUAUGGGCAAUUGCAAUAGCCGUUAAAUGCUGUUGGGCCCGAUUAGCCGAGUUUUAACUGAUCUGCGAUUGUGUCGCGGCCAACAAAGGGUUACUAUCUACUAUCGUUUCUAUCUGAAUGAUUGAUCGUGGAAUGAAUUAUAGGAACCUGUAUCGACUUCUCUGCUCUACUAAGACUUGUUCAAAAAUGGCGCACAAAUUACAUAUCUAUACGGCCUUCUAUCGUGUUCACCUAUUAUCAUCGUACCGAUAUCAAUACCGAUCAGAAACAGAAAUAUAUCACAGUACUCUGACAUCGAUCGAUAAAUAAUCGUAUCUGGAUUAGCAAGUGAACGAGCCGAUUGCUAGUUCGCUGUACACCAAAAAUCUCCGUCAAAUAUACUUUUUUUUCUUGUUAUAUAUUCUUUUUGUUGUAAACAUAAACUUAUUGAAAGUA